rnacentral:rRNA from 1 species
AAUGAACGCUGGCGGCAGGCCUAACACAUGCAAGUUGAAAGGAUCCUUCGGGAUUAGUGGCGGACGGGUGAGUAACGCGUGGGAACAUACCCUUUGGUACGGCAUAGCCUCGGGAAACUGGGAGAAAUACCGUAUGUGGUCGCGAGACGAAAGAUUGAUCUCCAAAGGAUUGGCCCGCGUUGGAUUAGUUAGGUGGUGGGGUAAUGGCCUACGAAGCCGACGAUCCAUAGCUGGGUUGAGAGGAUGAUCAGCCACACAGGGACUGAGACACGGGUCAGGCUCCUACGGGAGUGAGCGGUGGGGAAUCUUAGACAUUGGGGGAAACCCUGAACUAGUCAGGCAGCGUGAUCUAUGAAGGCCAGAGAGUUAUAAUGAUAUUUCAGGUGUGAAGAUGGUGACUGUACCACAAGAAGAAGCCCCGGCUAACUCCGUGCCAGCCGCCGCGGUAAAAC